CCUACGGGAGGCAGCAGUGGGGAAUAUUGCACAAUGGGCGCAAGCCUGAUGCAGCGACGCCGCGUGAGGGAUGACGGCCUUCGGGUUGUAAACCUCUUUCAGUAGGGAAGAAGCCGUAAGGUGACGGUACCUGCAGAAGAAGCGCCGGCUAACUACGUGCCAGCAGCCGCGGUAAUACGUAGGGCGCAAGCGUUAUCCGGAAUUAUUGGGCGUAAAGAGCUCGUAGGCGGUUUGUCGCGUCUGCCGUGAAAGUCCGGGGCUCAACUCCGGAUCUGCGGUGGGUACGGGCAGACUAGAGUGAUGUAGGGGAGACUGGAAUUCCUGGUGUAGCGGUGAAAUGCGCAGAUAUCAGGAGGAACACCGAUGGCGAAGGCAGGUCUCUGGGCAUUAACUGACGCUGAGGAGCGAAAGCAUGGGGAGCGAACAGGAUUAGAUACCCUGGUAGUCCAUGCCGUAAACGUUGGGCACUAGGUGUGGGGGACAUUCCUACGUUUCCGCGCCGUAGCUACGCAUUAGUCGCCCGCCGUGGGGAGGUACGGCCGGCGACGGAACGUAAACGUACUUAAUUAGUAAGUUAGUUACGGCGUUGAGACGNGCCGACGGACGACGACGAGGGAGGAGG
rnacentral:rRNA from 1 species